AUUGAACGCUGGCGGCAUGCCUUACACAUGCAAGUCGGACGGCAGCGGGGGAGAAGCUUGCUUUUCCUGCCGGCGAGUGGCGAACGGGUGAGUAAUACAUCGGAACGUGCCCUGUAGUGGGGGAUAACUAGUCGAAAGAUUAGCUAAUACCGCAUACGACCUGAGGGUGAAAGUGGGGGAGCGCAAGGCCUCAUGCUAUAGGAGCGGCCGAUGUCUGAUUAGCUAGUUGGUGGGGUAAAGGCCUACCAAGGCGACGAUCAGUAGCUGGUCUGAGAGGACGAUCAGCCACACUGGGACUGAGACACGGCCCAGACUCCUACGGGAGGCAGCAGUGGGGAAUUUUGGACAAUGGGCGAAAGCCUGAUCCAGCAAUGCCGCGUGUGUGAAGAAGGCCUUCGGGUUGUAAAGCACUUUUGUCCGGAAAGAAAUGGCUCUGGUUAAUACCUGGGGUCGAUGACGGUACCGGAAGAAUAAGGACCGGCUAACUACGUGCCAGCCGCCGCCGUAA
rnacentral:rRNA from 1 species